UUUAAUUCGAAGCAACGCGCAGAACCUUACCAACCCUUGACAUGGCAGGACCGCCCGGGAGACCGGGUCUUCUCGCAAGAGACCUGCACACAGGUGCUGCAUGGCUGUCGUCAGCUCGUGUCGUGAGAUGUUCGGUUAAGUCCGGCAACGAGCGCAACCCACACCCCCAGUUGCCAUCAUUUGGUUGGGCACUCCGGGGGAACUGCCCGUGAUAAGCGGGAGGAAGGUGUGGAUGACGUCAAGUCCUCAUGGCCCUUACGGGUUGGGCUACACACGUGCUACAAUGGUGGUGACAGUGGGUUAAUCCCCAAAAGCCAUCUCAGUUCGGAUUGUCGUCUGCAACUCGACGGCAUGAAGUCGGAAUCGCUAGUAAUCGCGCAACAGCAUGGCG
rnacentral:rRNA from 1 species